GACGAAGGUGGCGAGCGUUGUUCGGAAUCACUGGGCAUAAAGCGCACGUAGGCGGCUAGGUAAGUCGGAUGUGAAAUACCUCGGCUCAACCGAGGAACUGCGUCCGAUACUGCCUGGCUUGAGGUCCGGAGGGGAGAGUGGAAUUCCCGGUGGAGCGGUGAAAUGCGUAGAGAUCGGGAAGGACGCCGGCGGCGAAAGCGACUCUCUGGUCGGAAUCUGACGCUGAGGUGCGAAAGCUAGGGGAGCAAACGGG
rnacentral:rRNA from 1 species